CCUGAAAUUCCAGAGAUGUUCCCGGGGUUUUUUUCCAUGCCAGAGUUCAGGGGGUUGGGAAUUGUGGGAAUUUCAGGAAUUCUGGAGGAUUUGGGGUUGGUUCCAAGCUGGGCCCGCACGCCAGCCUGGACAGCGUCGUCUGCGCCAACAAGGUACCCGGAAUUCCGGGAAUUUCUGGGAAUUUUGGGAAUUCUGGAGGUUUGUCACUGGUUGGAUCCUGUGGGAUUGAAAUUCUGGAGAUUUUGGUGGUUCUGGAAGCUCCAGAGCCAUUCCUGGGGCUCUGGUCCCAAC
rnacentral:lncRNA from 1 species